GCUAAGGCCCCUAAAUGACCGCUCAGUGGCAAAGGAGGUGAGAGUGCAAAGACAGCCAGGAGGUUUGCCUAGAAGCAGCCACCCUUGAAAGAGUGCGUAAUAGCUCACUGAUCGAGCGCUCUUGCGCCGAAGAUGAAUGGGACUAAGCGGUCUGCCGAAGCUGUGGGAUGCCUGUUAGGGCAUCGGUAGGGGAGCGUUCCGCAAAAGGGAGAAGCAUCAGUGUAAACAGGUGUGGACGAAGCGGAAGUGAGAAUGUCGGCUUGAGUAACGCAAACAUUGGUGAGAAUCCAAUGCCCCGAAAACCCAAGGGUUCCUCCGCAAGGCUCGUCCACGGAGGGUGAGUCAGGGCCUAAGAUCAUGCCGAACGGCGCAGUCGAUGGACAACAGGUCAAGAUUCCUGUACUACCCCUUGUUGACAAGAAGAGGGACGGAGGAGGCUAAGCUAGCCGAACAAUGGUCAUCGGUUCAAGGGCCAGAAAGCCUGAGUACUAGGCACCUACGGGGCCGAAGUAGCUGAUGCCACGCUCCCAAGAAAAGCUCUUACGUCAUCGCCGUGCUUCGCACUCCCCGUUGUCCCGUUGCUCACGCAACCCGAAAGGUCGCGGAUGGGAGGAGACGCGAUAGCGAAUUGACACAAAGCGUGUCCGGAAGGCAACAAAAUGAAGACAAGUGGGUACCUGUACCCGAAACCGACACAGGUGGGUAGGUUGAGAAUACCUAGGGGCGCGAGAUAACUCU
rnacentral:rRNA from 1 species